rnacentral:rRNA from 1 species
UGCUUUACACAUGCAAGUCGAACGGAUCAAGAAGCUUGCUUCUUGGUUAGUGGCGAACGGGUGAGUAAUAUAUCGGAACGUGCCCAGUCGUGGGGGAUAACGUAGUGAAAAUUACGCUAAUACCGCAUACGAUCUACGGAUGAAAGCGGGGGAUCGCAAGACCUCGCGCGAUUGGAGCGGCCGAUACCGGAUUAGCUGGUUGGUGAGGUAAAGGCUCACCAAGGCGACGAUCCGUAGCUGGUCUGAGAGGACGACCAGCCACACUGGAACUGAGACACGGUCCAGACUCCUACGGGAGGCAGCAGUGGGGAAUUUUGGACAAUGGGCGAAAGCCUGAUCCAGCCAUACCGCGUGAGUGAAGAAGGCCUUCGGGUUGUAAAGCUC